CCCUUAGAUGUUCUGGGCCGCACGCGUGCUACACUGAGUGGAUCAGCGGGUCAGGUUGCGCGAAAGCGUUUCCUAAUCUUUAAAUCCGCUCGUGAUGGGGAUUGACGGUUGCAAUUUUCUGUCAUGAACGAGGAAUACCUUGUAAGCGCGGGUCAUCAUCACGCGCUGAAUACGUCCCUGCCCUUUGUACACACCGCCCGUCGCUCCUACCGAUUGAGUGGUCCGGUGAGGCUUUGGGAUCUGAGCGGAAAGAGCGUUUCGCUGUUUCUGCUCGGAAAACUCAGUCGAACCUUAUCAUUUAGAGGAAGGAGAAGUCGUAACA
rnacentral:rRNA from 1 species